UGGGCUCGAAAUGUAGAGGACGACGCAAGAGAUUGCGUUUCCCGAAAGGGUCUCUAUAU
rnacentral:rRNA from 1 species